rnacentral:rRNA from 1 species
UGAAUACGAGAUGCUACGGCGUCGAAGCAGUGUAUGUCAGACUUCCAAGAAAAGCUCGCAAUGUCAUAAAUAAAGAAUGCCUGUACCAUAACCGACACAGGUGGGUAGGUAGAGUAUACUAAGGGGCGCGAGAUAACUCUCUCUAAGGAACUCGGCAAAAUAACUCCGUAACUUCGGGAGAAGGAGUGCCUUCUUUAAGAAGGUUGCAAUAACAAGAUCCAAGCAACUGUUUAUCAAAAACACAGGUCUCCGCUAAGUCGUAAGACGAUGUAUGGGGGCUGACGCCUGCCCAGUGCCAGAAGGUUAAAGAAGUUGGUUAGCUUUUGCGAAGCUGAUGACUGAAGCCCUGGUGAACGGCGGCCGUAACUAUAACGGUCCUAAGGUAGCGAAAUUCCUUGUCGGGUAAGUUCCGACCCGCACGAAAGGCGUAAUGAUUUGGAUACUGUCUCGGAGAGGGACUCGGUGAAUUAGACUUGUCUGUGAAGAUGCGGACUACCUGCACCAGGACAGAAAGACCCUAUGAAGCUUUACUGUAACUUGAAAUUGAAAUUGGACUUUAUUUGCGCAGUAUAGGUGGAAGGCGUUGAAAGUAAUCUUGCGGGAUUAGUGGAGCCAUCAGUGAGAUACCACUCCUAUAAUGUUAGAUUUCUAACUUUGGAUCAUGAUCUGGUCAAAGAACAGUUUCAGGCGGGCAGUUUGACUGGGGCGGUCGCCUCCCAAAUGGUAACGGAGGCGUACAAAGGUUUCCUCUGAACGGGUAGAAGUCGUAUCUAGAGUGUAAGGGCAUAAGGAAGCUUGACUGUGAGACCUACAAGUCGAGCAGGGACGAAAGUCGGUCUUAGUGAUCUGACGGUGCUGAGUGGAAAGGCCGUCAAUCAACGGAUAAAGUUACUCUAAGGAUAACAGGCUGAUCUCCCCCAAGAGUUCACAUCGACGGGGAGGUUUGGCACCUCGAUGUCGGCUCAUCGCAUCCUGGGGCGGUAGUACGUCCCAAGGGUUGGGCUGUUCGCCCAUGAAAGCGGUACGCGAGCUGGGUUCAGAACGUCGUGAGACAGUUCGGUCCAUAUCCGGUGUAGGCGUUAGAAUAUUGAGAGGAGCCUUCUUUAGUACGAGAGGACCGAGAAGGACAUACCUCUGGUGUACCAGUUAUCGUGCCAACGGUAAACGCUGGGUAGCUAUGUAUGGAGAGGAUAACCGCUGAAAGCAUCUAAGUGGGAAGCCCACCUCAAGAUGACUAUUCUC